rnacentral:rRNA from 1 species
UACGUAGGGUGCAAGCGUUAAUCGGAAUUACUGGGCGUAAAGCGUGCGCAGGCGGUGAUGUAAGACAGGUGUGAAAUCCCCGGGCUUAACCUGGGAACUGCAUUUGUGACUGCAUCGCUGGAGUGCGGCAGAGGGGGAUGGAAUUCCGCGUGUAGCAGUGAAAUGCGUAGAUAUGCGGAGGAACACCGAUGGCGAAGGCAAUCCCCUGGGGCCUGCACUGACGCUCAUGCACGAAAGCGUGGGGAGCAAACAGG